AGGCAUUAUUUCCUGCGGAAGUGUGUAUGCGGGUCAACCUGUGUUUGCGGAUGUGUUUAGCUUGAUGAUAUUAGCCGGUUGAGUAGAUACGAUGGACGUUAAGGCAGAGGUUAUAGCGUCUUUGAAAAACGACAUUGGAGACGAGUAUUUUAAUUUAUCCUCCGUAAAGAAAGCGUCAGUACUGAUCCCCCUUUUCCUGAGAGAGGGUCGGGUUCAUGUGCUGCUAACUGUGCGCUCUACUGAACUCAAACACAACCCCGGAGAGGUGUGCUUUCCGGGGGGGAAAUCUGAUCCACACGAUCGGGAUGAAAUUGAAACAGCGCUUAGGGAGGCAUUGGAGGAGAUCAGCCUUCCUCCUGAUGGAGUAGAAGUGGUUUGCAGACUCUGCCCAGUGUUGAAUGCGAGAGGCAUUCUGGUGACCCCAGUGGUGGCUUUCAUCAGCGACUCCUUCCAAGCGAGCCCAAACCCAGAUGAAGUGAGCGAGGUGUUCUCUGUGCCUGUGGAGUUCUUCUUGAAGGAGACUGAUCACUCGGCUUACCCUGUACCCAACAUAGCUGGAUAUACGCACAGUUUUAUCUACACUGACCCGGUCACUGACAAGAUCCAGCAGAUCUGGGGACUAACAGCCUAUCUGCUCAUACUUCUGGCUGUUCUUACUUUUAAAAAGAAGCCAGAGUUUGAAGUGGACUUUGAUUUUCAGAAUCAAUUUCAGCAACACCUUAAACGUAGUUUAAGCAAGUUAUGACUAAUUUCAUUCAUAGAAUGAGAUGGAACAUGUGGCUUAUUCCUAAAAUGUUUUCCUGGAAAUAAUUUUUUUUUUUAAUGACUUCAUUCAUUCACCUUCAGUACUUGCUUUAUUCUGGUCAGGGUUGUGGUGGAUCCAGAGUCUGUCCCAGGACUUUGGACAUGAUGCGCACACACACUUUCACAUCUAGGGCAGUGUAACAUACUCACCUACAUGUAGGUUUUUGGGAGGUGAGAGGGAACCAUAGAACCACGAAAGUAGAUAAGAAUCCGAAAUCACAAUCAAACCAUGGACCCUGGAACUGUGAGGCAAUGAUGUUGCCCACUGUGCCACAGUGCCGCCUUACAAUCCAUCCAUCCAUCCAUUUUCUCUAAAGCUUAUCCUACACAGGGUCACGGGGGAGCCUGGGGCCUCAGGGGACUAGCUGCACGAUGCAGGGUCACCCUGGAUGGGGUGUCAACCCAUAGCAGAGAAUAAUCGCACACUACAGACAAUUUAGAGGUGCCAAUCAGCCUACAGCUCAUGUCUUUGGAAUGGGGAAGGAAACCAGAAUACCCAAAGAAAUCCCCUGAAGUACGGGUAGUACAUGCAAAUUCUGCGCACACAGGGUGGAGGCCGGAAUCGACCCCACAGGUGCAAGGGGAGUCUGGAGCCUAUCCCAGGGAACUCAAGGAGCAGGGUGGGGGACACCCUGGACGGGACAUCAUCACGGCACAAUCACACACCUAUUCACACAUUACAGACAAUUUGGACAUGCCAAUCAGCCUACAAUGCAUGCUUUGGAUUGGGGGAGGAAACCGGAAUACCCAGAAACCCCUGAAGCACGUGGAGAACAUGCAAGCUCCUCACACAUAGGGUGCAGGUGGGAUUCGAGUCCCCCAACCCUGGAGAUGAAAGACAAUAGUGCUAAGCAUUAAGCCACCUGCGCUACCCCACGUCAGCUAUUUUUAUUGCUUGUUUGUUUUUAAAUAGGUCUCUCCUACAGAUCUAUAGCACCCUUCUAGAGGGAGUUUGUGUUUCCUUCUAUAAAAACUAAAUGAAAUGAAAGUGUUACACAUUCCUCAUGCUUUUUUUCUUCGGUUUUGGUGUGUUGUUCCAGCAGCACUGGGAGCAGGUGGACUCCAGCCAGCCCAUUUCUGCUUCGUUAGAGAGCAAAGCUGUCUCAGCAGCUCCAGCUUAAUGCAUGAGCAACUAUUCAUCACUCUCUGUGGCAUCACAGCACUUCGCACACUGAAUCAAUUUUGAUUCAGGCCAUUUUUCUUAGACAUAUAACACCGGUAUUGUAAAUCUGUUCACAGUGAAUUGUCGUGGUGUAAGCUUACAGCACGUAAAUGCAUAUGUGGCUUUGUUGACCACUAGAGGGUGCAGAAACAGCUGAAUACAACUUAUUACAUGUAAUUACUGGUUACUGUGAUUUGCAGGCUAUUCAAGAAGUGGAAAGCUGAGGGGAAUAUCUCAGCUGGUUUGCUUGAAGAGAGGUUAUAGUGACCCAACCAAGAAAAAUCUACAUUUUAGUGCUUUUCUUUUUCUUGCUAAAGUAAGGGACUGUUAUGUAACCUGGGAAUGUGUAUGCUAAAUCUGCUCAGAUGCAUGUGGGCUGUGUUUGCUAAAUGCCAGCUUGAUGACCUUAACUGCUGUAGAACUAGCUAUGAAAAGGCUGACAUUAAGAAUAAUUUUGCAUGAGGGUGAAAAAAAACUACCCACAGGCACAAAAAAAAUGCUAUCAGAGGCAGUGUUUUGAAUUUGCACAAGCAUAAGCCUCAGUGUAACACCUAUAUUAGUUGUCCAGUGUUUAAUGUGUGUAAUGUAGUUGGGUUUACGUUACCAUAGAAAGAGAAGUAGUGUUAGCAGUCACACCUUUACAUGGUCAUGUUGCUUCAGCAAAUAUGUGCAUGCAAUCUUAUCAUUAUGUUUUUUUACAGCUUGUUUUUAUUAGUUUUACAAAAAUGCAUUAACAGCCAUUUCAGCAUUGAGUAAAUAUUGACCAACUCCUGUUAUGUGGAACUGCUCUUCAUUUACGUUGGAAUAAAAUUCUCCUUUUGGCGGCUUUCAAUACACACCUAGAGCAUACAUACAUUGGUAAGUGUAAUAGAACAAAUA